rnacentral:piRNA from 3 species
UGGACACUUUGGGCAUCGAAUAUGGUGAU